rnacentral:rRNA from 1 species
CGGCGAGUGAAGCGGCAACAGCUCAAAUUUGAAAUCUGGCCCUCGGGUCCGAGUUGUAAUUUGCAGAGGAUGCUUUUGGCGCGGUGCCUUCCGAGUUCCCUGGAACGGGACGCCUUAGAGGGUGAGAGCCCCGUACGGUUGGACACCAAGCCUCUGUAAAGCUCCUUCGACGAGUCGAGUAGUUUGGGAAUGCUGCUCUAAAUGGGAGGUAAAUUUCUUCUAAAGCUAAAUACCGGCCAGAGACCGAUAGCGCACAAGUAGAGUGAUCGAAAGAUGAAAAGCACUUUGAAAAGAGGGUUAAAUAGCACGUGAAAUUGUUGAAAGGGAAGCGUUUACGGCCAGACCUUUUCCUGGCGGAUCAUCUGGUGUUCUCACCAGUGCACUCCGCCAGGUUUAGGCCAGCAUCGGCUCCCGUAGGGGGAUAAAAGCAGUGGGAAAGUAGCUCCCUCGGGAGUGUUAUAGCCCGCUGCACAAUACCCUUACAGGGGCCGAGGACCGCGCAAGGAUGCUGGCGUAAUGGUCGUCAACGACCCGUCUUGAAACACGGACCAAGGAGUCGAACAUUUGUGCGAGUGUUUGGGUGUCAAACCCUCACGCGUAAUGAAAGUGAACGGAGGUGAGAGCCCUCUCGGGGGUGCAUCAUCGACCGAUCCUGAUGUCUUCGGAUGGAUUUGAGUAAGAGCAUAACUGUUCGGACCCGAAAGAUGGUGAACUAUGCGUGGAUAGGGUGAAGCCAGAGGAAACUCUGGUGGAGGCUCGCAGCGGUUCUGACGUGCAAAUCGAUCGUCAAAUCUGCGCAUGGGGGCGAAAG